rnacentral:tRNA from 1 species
GUGGGGAUAGCUCAGUGGUAGAGUGCAUGCUUAGCAUGCACGAGAUCCUGGGUUCAAUCCCCAGUACCUCCA